ensembl:snRNA U6 U6 spliceosomal RNA
GUACUUACUUUGGCAGCACAUGUACUAAAAUUGGAAUAAUACAGAGAAGAUUAGCAUGGCCCCUGUGCAAGGAUGUCAUGCAAAUUCAUGACGUAUUCUAUAUUUAA